rnacentral:rRNA from 1 species
GAUCCUGGCUCAGGAUGAACGCUAGCUACAGGCUUAACACAUGCAAGUCGAGGGGCAGCAUGAACUUAGCUUGCUAAGUUUGAUGGCGACCGGCGCACGGGUGAGUAACACGUAUCCAACCUGCCGAUGACUCGGGGAUAGCCUUUCGAAAGAAAGAUUAAUACCCGACUGGCAUAGUUCUUCCGCAUGGUAGAACUAUUAAAGAAAUUUACGGUUCAUCGAUGGGGAGUGCGUUCCAUUAGGUUGG